GCAUAUCAAUAAGCGGAGGAAAAGAAACCAACAGGGAUUGCCCUAGUAACGGCGAGUGAAGCGGCAACAGCUCAAAUUUGAAAUCUGGCGUCUUUGGCGUCCGAGUUGUAAUUUGCAGAGGGCGCUUUGGCAUUGGCAGCGGUCCAAGUUCCUUGGAACAGGACGUCACAGAGGGUGAGAAUCCCGUACGUGGUCGCUAGCCUUUACCGUGUAAAGCCCCUUCGACGAGUCGAGUUGUUUGGGAAUGCAGCUCUAAAUGGGAGGUAAAUUUCUUCUAAAGCUAAAUACUGGCCAGAGACCGAUAGCGCACAAGUAGAGUGAUCGAAAGAUGAAAAGCACUUUGGAAAGAGAGUUAAAAAGCACGUGAAAUUGUUGAAAGGGAAGCGCUUGCAGCCAGACUUGCCUGUAGUUGCUCAUCCGGGUUUUUACCCGGUGCACUCUUCUAUAGGCAGGCCAGCAUCAGUUUGGGCGGUUGGAUAAAGGUCUCUGUCAUGUACCUCUCUUCGGGGAGAACUUAUAGGGGAGACGACAUGCAACCAGCCUGGACUGAGGUCCGCGCAUCUGCUAGGAUGCUGGCGUAAUGGCUGUAAGCGGCCCGUCUUGAAACACGGACCAAGGAGUCUAACAUCUAUGCGAGUGUUUGGGUGUCAAGCCCGAGCGCGUAAUGAAAGUGAACGGAGGUGGGAACCUUUCGGGGUGCACCAUCGACCGAUCCUGAUGUCUUCGGAUGGAUUUGAGUAAGAGCAUAGCUGUUGGGACCCGAAAGAUGGUGAACUAUGCUUGAAUAGGGUGAAGCCAGAGGAAACUCUGGUGGAGGCUCGCAGCGGUUCUGACGUGCAAAUCGAUCGUCAAAUUUGGGCAUAGGGGCGAAAGACUAAUCGAACUAUCUAGUAGCUGGUUCCUGCCGA
rnacentral:rRNA from 3 species